rnacentral:lncRNA from 1 species
GUGAUGUUCUCAUUUGAUCUACUUUGGUAGAAUCACUUUCUGUCAGGAAAUUUACUGCAAUGAUGUGCAUAGUAAAUAUUUAAUAGCAUUAGAGGCAGCAGAGUCUAUUUUUCUUUGAAGAGUGCUUAAUUAUGUCAAUUUCCCAUGAUGAGAUGCUAAAGCCAGUAUUAUUUGAAUUUGGAGUACUGGGUGGAGGUGGAGAAAUACUUGUGUGAGGCUCCCCUCCCGUAAGAAGUCAAUGUAUGUGAGUUUAACAAGGCAAUACAGCAGAACCUCAAUCUCAUUAAUUUAGGCCACACUAAUUAAAUAUUUGUGAUACUAUAGCUGUGCUUGAACUGUCAGUGAGGGUUGGCUAACCUACACAGAAGUAUAAACAACAAAGGGGAAAUGAGUUGAAUCUACUUUUACCAUGUCCUCUCUAUUCAUGUACAUAGUAGAUGGAAUCAUAUGUUGAUAUUUGGCAUUCAAAAAUUUUUUUAAUGUUUAUUUUUGAGAGGGGGAGGGUCAGAGAGAGGCAAAUCUGAAGCAGGCUCCAGGCUCUGAGCUGUCAGCACAGAUCCCGACGCAGGGCUCGAACCCACAAACUAUGAGAUCAUGACCUGAGCUGAAUUCAGAUGCUUAACUGACUGAGCCACCCAGGUGCCCCAAUAUUUGGCAGUUUUGAGCUUAAAAAAGGGAAAUUUCAUAUGGGUCAAUUUAGAAGCUUUAAUCCUCUCAGUACAAAAACUCUGAUGAUAGACAAAACAUCAUUUCCAUUCAUUCCAGUUGCUGACAAACCAUGCUACAUUCUUCUUGCAUCAUCAGUAAAACGUCCUAAGCCAAGACCUUAACUGAUGGAAAAGUUGAUAGGAUAAGCAACCAAGUUCCAUUCGGCUUUCCAAGUAACUGCGUGCAUUUGGCCUCAAGAAAGCAGCAUAAAAUCAAAUUUACCCAGAAUGUUUCCUGCAGGUAAAUUUUCCCUCUUGAAAUGAUUCUCCAUAACCUGGAUGCAAGUGGACCACCCCUCACUCAAUAACUACUUAUUAAAUGGCCACUAUCUGCUAGGCAUUGGCUUCCUUAAGGAAAAGAAACUGAGAUUCAGAUCAUAUGAUCAGUACCACCAAGCUCACGGACUUACCAUGAACCAGCUGGAUGAUUCUUUCAAUGUCGAACUGAUCAGAACAUGGUCACAUCUAGAGAUGGAGCCUUCGGAAUCCCAUAGGAGUUCUCUGCCAUUCUUCUUCGGAUCUCUAUUUUUAGCUCGAAUGUCUUAAAUGAAUUUUCCAGAAAGAGAAGCCAUUUUUACAAAAAUGUGG